rnacentral:rRNA from 1 species
GACGAACGCUGGCGGCGUGCUUAACACAUGCAAGUCGAACGGAAAGGCCCUGCUUGCAGGGUACUCGAGUGGCGAACGGGUGAGUAACACGUGGGUGAUCUGCCCUGCACUUCGGGAUAAGCCUGGGAAACUGGGUCUAAUACCGGAUAGGAGCCAUUUUUAGUGUGAUGGUUGGAAAGUUUUUUCGGUGUAGGAUGAGCUCGCGGCCUAUCAGCUUGUUGGUGGGGUAAUGGCCUACCAAGGCGGCGACGGGUAGCCGGCCUGAGAGGGUGGACGGCCACAUUGGGACUGAGAUCCGGCCCAGACUCCUACGGGAGGCAGCAGUGGGGAAUAUUGCACAAUGGGCGCAAGCCUGAUGCAGCGACGCCGCGUGGGGGAUGACGGACUUCGGGUUGUAAACUCCUUUCGCUAGGGACGAAGCUUUUUGUGACGGUACCUAGAUAAGAAGCACCGGCUAACUACGUG